GGAUGCCAAUUUGGAUGUUGCCGUCAACUCCUUUAGUAACUUAGCAGACACACGAAGGGGAGGUUGGGACUUUGCGUAUUAAUUAACUUGACAAAUAAUUAAAGCAAGAUCAAGGAGACGGAAGACUCUGCCGGCUUGAGUGUUAAACAGACAGAGGGUAAUUUAACAAAAUGAGGGUAACAGGCUGGUUGGAGAAUGUUUGGAAGCUAGCUAGCUAGCUAGAUUGGCUAAUUUAUUAGCUACCUGGCCCGAGACUAGGUGAGCUUGUUUGAGGAGAGCGUUGCGUUCAGGGUAAACUGGAGCUAUAUGGUGGCUGGGCAAGCAAGUGUCUACCUUUUCUAUGGGUCCGUAAGAGUCUGCGUUGCGAAAAUUUCCACAGAGCUCAUGUACCGGACUGCUAUCUGCUAUUUCCCGUUUGCUGCCACCGAGGGAAAAGACGGUUUUGUUGAAAGCUGAAAGUUGAAGGGAUCUCGCAACUUCUUCACCAAAGAAAUGGAGCAGACAUUGGCAAAAAGUCCCUCAACAGCAGCAGUCACAGUCGUUGAAGGGACAAAAAAUUGUCCACCUCUGCGAUACAGGAGGCAUCACUAGACUUUGCAUCGAUCGUCACUCCUGACUGGCAAAAACAAUGCUUUGGAGGCUUUAUGGGCAUGCCAUGCCAAGAACCAUCAUGCCAGGCGUAAUCUUUAAAGAUGUUCAGCAGCUGGAUUGACUGGAGAGAUCAGCCAGCCUCCAGACAUUGCAGUGUCAGCAACAGCAAGGCAAGUGCAAGACCUCUCAGCACUCCUACCAUUUACACUAGAUACAGGCGAAUAUUAAGAAGAAAUACACAUCUUUCUCUUAAAGCCCCUUCCCCUCUGUCACAUAGAGAGAAAGAUGAAUACAGAUAUUUGUAAGUGUAUACUCUACAUGUCUACAGAGACAUGUGAAAAGCCUCUGCAUCAGCACUCUUACCAUAAAACUGCAAGAUGCCUCAAGAGGAAAAUCAAAAUGUAAAAAUCAAUAGUCGGCUCUUUGUCAUGUUUGCAUUGCAUGCUGCAUUAAUUUUCACAAUAAGCAGCCAGUUGUGAUGGGAGUGCUUGGUACCAGGAACAACACAUUGAAUAAUACAAUAUAACAGUACUGAUUUUUAAGAGCAGUGCUUGCUUCAAAGAAGGAUGUAUUUCUGCCAAUUAAAAAAACGUCACAUUUAUUUGCUCUUGGUUGAUGUGUUUGUACAUGCUUUACACUAUUUGCAGAGUGGAUUAACUGACUGUGAGGAAGUGAGCUAUUAUGACACACUUCCACAGAUGGGCAAAAUGGCAAAAAAAAAAUUUUGUGAAGGGAAAAAAUACAUUAGGUUGAACAUGA